rnacentral:misc_RNA from 1 species
GAUGAAGAUCGUAGCGAAAUGCGAUACGUAAUGUGAAUUGCAGAAUUCAGUGAAUCAUCGAAUCUUUGAACGCAUAUUGCGCUCUUUGGUAUUCCGAAGAGCAUGCUUGUUUGAGUAUCAGUAAACACCUCAAAGCUUUUGGAUUUUUUAAUCGAAAAGCUUUGGACUUGAGCAAUCCCAACACCAAUCUUUUUGAGAUCGGUGGCGGGUUGCUUGAAAUGCAGGUGCAGCUGGACAUUCUCCUGAGCUAAAAGCAUAUUCAUUUAGUCCCGUCAAACGGAUUAUUACUUUUGCUGCAGCUAACAUAAAGGGAGUUUGACCGUAUUGGCUGACUGAUGCAGGAUUUCACAAGGGUCGGCAACGAUUCUUGUUAAACUCGAUCUCAAAUCAAGUAAGACUACCCGCUGAACUUAAGCAUAUCAAUAAGCGGAGGA